CAGCCGCCGCGGGAAUACGGAGGGGGCUAGCGUUAUUCGGAAUUACUGGGCGUAAAGCGCACGUAGGCGGCUUCGCAAGUCAGAGGUGAAAGCCUGGGGCUCAACUCCAGAAUUGCCUUUGAGACUGCGUCGCUCGAAUCCGGGAGAGGUGAGUGGAAUUCCGAGUGUAGAGGCGAAAUUCGUAGAUAUUCGGAAGAACACCAGUGGCGAAGGCGGCUCACUGGACCGUUGUUGACGCUGAGGUGCGAAAGCGUGGGGAGCAAACAGGAUUAGAUACCCCAGUAGUCCCUGUCUCUUAUAC
rnacentral:rRNA from 1 species